AUACGUAGGUGGCAAGCGUUGUCCGGAUUUACUGGGUGUAAAGGGCGUGUAGGCGGAGAUGCAAGUCAGGAGUGAAAUCUAGGGGCUCAACCCCUAAACUGCUUUUGAAACUGUAUCCCUUGAGUAUCGGAGAGGCAGGCGGAAUUCCUAGUGUAGCGGGGAAAUGCGUAGAUAUUAGGAGGAACACCAGUGGCGAAGGCGGCCUGCUGGACGACAACUGACGCUGAGGCGCGAAAGCGUGGGGAGCAAACAGGAUUAGGUACCCUGGUAGUCCACGCUGUAAACGAUGAAUACUAGGUGUGGGGGGACUGACCCCCUCCGUGCCGCAGUUAACACAAUAAGUAUUCCACCUGGGGAGUACGAUCGCAAGAUUGAAACUCAAAGGAAUUGACGGGG
rnacentral:rRNA from 1 species